rnacentral:misc_RNA from 1 species
AAGUCGUAACAAGGUUUCCGUAGGUGAACCUGCGGAAGGAUCAUUAUCGAAAUAAAUCUGAAGGAGGAGGGAGCGGGCGAAGUUUGGCAUCGAUGGACUGUCGCUGGCGACUUUGGAAACGAAGUUCGCAUGUGCACGUCCGUCCUUCCUUAGUCCUCGCUCUCUUGCCUUUGGAGAAAAACAAACCUUUACACCUGUGCACCUGUUGUAGGUCCCUUUGCGGGGAUCUAUGUUUUUUCCAUAACACCGAACGUAUGUCUACAGAAUGUCUUUAAUGCGUCGAUCGGCAUGGCUAACGCUGUGUCGGAGACGGUAAACUAUCAUUACAACUUUCAGCAACGGAUCUCUUGGCUCUC